GGAAGUCACCCGGCCGGAUGAGGACACUGUCUUGAAAACAGCUGCGGGUCAAACCGUUGUGGGUUCGAGUCCCACGGCUUCCG
rnacentral:tRNA from 1 species